rnacentral:rRNA from 3 species
AACAUUGAGCCUUGAUGUGUAGGAUAGGUGGGAGGCUUUGAAGUGUGGACGCCAGUCUGCAUGGAGCCGACCUUGAAAUACCACCCUUUAAUGUUUGAUGUUCUAACGUGGACCCGUUACCCGGGUUGCGGACAGUGUCUGGUGGGUAGUUUGACUGGGGCGGUCUCCUCCUAAAGAGUAACGGAGGAGCACGAAGGUUGGCUAAUCCUGGUCGGACAUCAGGAGGUUAGUGCAAUGGCAUAAGCCAGCUUGACUGCGAGCGUGACGGCGCGAGCAGGUGCGAAAGCAGGUCAUAGUGAUCCGGUGGUUCUGAAUGGAAGGGCCAUCGCUCAACGGAUAAAAGGUACUCCGGGGAUAACAGGCUGAUACCGCCCAAGAGUUCAUAUCGACGGCGGUGUUUGGCACCUCGAUGUCGGCUCAUCACAUCCUGGGGCUGAAGUAGGUCCCAAGGGUAUGGCUGUUCGCCAUUUAAAGUGGUACGCGAGCUGGGUUUAGAACGUCGUGAGACAGUUCGGUCCCUAUCUGCCGUGGGCGCUGGAGAACUGAGGGGGGCUGCUCCUAGUACGAGAGGACCGGAGUGGACGCAUCACUGGUGUUCGGGUUGUCAUGCCAAUGGCACUGCCCGGUAGCUAAAUGCGGAAGAGAUAAGUGCUGAAAGCAUCUAAGCACGAAACUUGCCCCGAG